CCCCAACAGCCCAACUCAAGUCCUCCAGUACCCCCCAACAGCCCAACUCCAGUCCUCCAGUACCCCCCAACAGCCCAACUCCAGUCCUCCAGUACCCCCCAACAGCCCAACUCCAGUCCUCCAGUACCCCCCCAACAGCCCAACUCCAGUCCUCCAGUACCCCCCCAACAGCCCAACUCCAGUCCUCCAGUACCCCCCAACAGCCCAACUCCAGUCCUCCAGUACCCCCCCAACAGCCCAACUCCAGUCCUCCAGUACCCCCCCAACAGCCCAACUCCAGUCCUCCAGUACCCCCCCAACAGCCCAACUCCAGUCCUCCAGUACCCCCCCAACAGCCCAACUCCAGUCCUCCAGAAGACAAAUUCCCCUGAUUGAACUAAUUGAGGACUUGAAGUUGAAUCGGGUGUGCUUGUUUGGGGCCACAACAACAAUGUGUUCUGUUGUAGGACUGGAGGUGGGAAACGAUGCUAUAUGGGUACCGGUGGUGGGAAAAAGUACUAAAAAUCUCAUUCUGUAGUAAAAGUGAAGAUAUUUUAAUAGAAAAUUACUCAAGUAAAAUUUUGUCAUCCAGUAAAAUACGACUUGAGUAAAAGUAUUUGGUUUUAAAUAUACUUAAGUAUCAAAAGUAAAUGUAGUUGCUAAAAUAUACUUAAGUAUCAAAAGUAAAUGUAGUUGUUAAAAUAUACUUAAGUAUCAAAAGUAAAAGUAUGAAUAAUUAAAAAUUCCUUAUAUUAAGAAAACCAGAUGGCACAAUUUCCUUGUUUUUUAUUUUCUCGGAUAGCCAGGGUCACACUCCAACACUCAGACACCAUUUAAACACCAAGCAUUUGUGUUUAGUGAGUCCUCCAGAUCAGAGGCAGUAGGGAUGACCAGGGAUGUUCUCUGUUUAGUGAGUCCUCCAGAUCAGAGGCAGUAGGGAUGACCAGGGAUGUUCUCUUGAUAAGUAUGCGAAUUGGACCAUUUUCUGUCCUGCUAAGCAUUAAAAAUGUACUUUUGGGUGUCAGGGAAAAUGUAUGGAGUAAAAAGUACAUAAUUUUGUUUAGGAAUGUCGUGAAGUAAAAGUCAAAAAUAUAAAUGGUAGAGUACAGAUACCCCAAAAAACACCACUGAUGGGUGUCUUGACCCAGGCAGGAAGGGUGUUUUAUAACUCCUUGCACGACAGUAUGACACAGGGAAACUAACUGGCAAUAAUAUUUGCUGAAAAUAAUAUUUGCUGACUUUAAAAUUUGAAAUUUGUACAUUUAGCUACAUCAAAUGUUGCCCACCUUCUCCAAGUACAACAGAGCUUUUAUUAUGGUUCUGACUAGAUGGAAUACAGACUUUUUCGUAGCAGGUUAGGAGAAUGAAGUUAUUAAAAGGCUUAGCUAAAAUGCUCUCCUAGCCUGCUAUGAAAAGGGUUAGCUAAAAUGCUCUCCUAGCCUGCUAUGAAAAGGGUUAGCUAAAAUGCUCUCCUAGCCUGCUAUGAAAAGUCACUUCCUGGUUGUAGCUGUACUCCAUCUUGUCCAGGGUUUCCCAAAACUAUUUUUGUUGCCAUAGCUCUACACAGCUGAUUCAAAUAAUCAACGAAUCAUCAAGCUUUGAUAAUUUGAAUCAACUGUGUAGUGUUAGGGGGGCAAAAAUCUAAAUGUGCACCCCUUGGGGUCCUGAGGACCUUGGGAAACGCUGAUCUAGUCACAAGCCUGUAUUAUUGUCUUGACUCAAAUGUGUGAAUCCCUUCCCUAGUUGGUGAUGGCCCCGUGUGUCUCAGUUGGUAGAGCAUGGUGUUUGCAACGCCAGGGUUGUGGGUUCGAUUCCCACCGGGGGGCCAGUAUGGAAAAAAAGGUAUGAAAUGUAUGCUUUUUGGGUAAGAGUGUCUGCUAAAUGGCUAAAAUGUAAAAAUGUGAUGUACUGUGACAUGUGUAAAAAUAAAAUUGCUGUAAAUGAAUGGGUAUAAAAUAAAGUUGACAUUUUUCUUAUCAUGUGUUGUCUGCAGUUUAUUGUUAUAAAACUGUACAAUAUUGCUUCGAUUGAAAAGAAUGUAUCCAAGGCCUAAAAUGGUGGGUAUGUUCACCGAUUGGCCAGAAGGUGGCGGUAGUACGUGUAUUGUUG
rnacentral:lncRNA from 1 species